CAGCCGCCGCGGUAAUACGUAGGGUGCGAGCGUUAAUCGGAAUUACUGGGCGUAAAGCGUGCGCAGGCGGUUCGUUAAGACAGAUGUGAAAUCCCCGGGCUUAACCUGGGAACUGCAUUUGUGACUGGCGAGCUAGAGUCUGGCAGAGGGGGGUGGAAUUCCGCGUGUAGCAGUGAAAUGCGUAGAUAUGCGGAGGAACACCGAUGGCGAAGGCAGCCCCCUGGGCCAACACUGACGCUCAUGCACGAAAGCGUGGGGAGCAAACAGGAUUAGAUACCCCCGUAGUCCCUGUCUCUUAUAC
rnacentral:rRNA from 1 species